CAAAGUAAUUUAUAUAAUUUAAUUUUGUAUAAUUUUCUAUUUUUCUAUUAUUUUAAUAAUAAAAAUAAAAUGGAAAUAGAAGAAUCAAUAAAAGAAAAUGCUGUAGAGGUUAUUAGAGAAGGAUUGAGAGAAUUGAUUCAUAUAGAAAGAAAGGAAAAUCGUAUGAAAACGGUAAAUAAAAGUCGUGUGGCUUUAGGAAAUAUUAUAACGAAUUCAUCUUUUACAACAGAGUUUGUAAUUGAAAAAGCAAAAGCUCUUAAAAAAAAAGCAUUAUCUAUUGAAGAGUAUAAAGAGCUUCAAAAUGCUCUUAUUCAGAGUGAAGAAAAUGUUAAUUCGUUCUUAAAAGUAGAUAACAUCUUAUUUGCACUGGUACGUGAUUUCUCUGGUAAUGACCCUAUUUUACAAUUAUGUGCUAUUAGUUGUUCUUGUAAUAUAGCACUUGGAAAUGCUAAAGCAUGUACUUCAUUAACCAAAAGCAUUGGACCAUAUCUUAUUACAAAAUUAGAUACUUUAAAUUAUUCUUUAUUGGAAAUAUGUAUAUGGACAAUAGGAAAUUUAAUUUCAGGGAGUAAUAAGGCAUUUGAAAUUCUUCAUGCACAAGAUUGUUUGAAAUAUAUUGUAUCCUUGAUGUACAAUUGUGAUAAUGUAAUUGUGUCUUCAGUAGCCUAUACUGCUAUGCAUUAUGUACAUAUUGGUUUUCAAUAUAUCUUAAAAGAAGAAAUUAUUGAACUUACCAAUGCUACUAUAAAGAGAAACUUUUCAUUUGAAGAUUCAUAUUUUAUUUGGUUACUUGCAUUAUUAUCUUCAGAAAUAUCGUGUCACAUAUAUUUAUAUUCUGUAAUCCCUUUAAUAAUUGAUUAUUUAUAUGAAAAUAGCAUAAAUGAUAUUACAUCAAUAAUAGAGAUCACAGCAUGUAUAAGAAUAUUAGCUAAUAUUGUACAAGAAACAUCUGGACGAUUGGCAAAGUAUCUAUUGGAAAAUUCUAAAUAUUCACUAUCAAAUUUAAAAAUAUUAUUAAAUAAAUUACUUUUAUGUCAGUAUGUACAUAUUAGGAAAGAAACAUUAUGGCUAAUAGGUAAUCUUUAUAAUCACAAUUCUGUUGAUAUAAAAAAGAUUAUACAAGAAGUUAUUUCUGAAUCAGUUUUGAAGCAAACAGUCUUAUAUACAAUUCAACAGUAUCAAUAAAUGCAAACUCUAUUAGUUAAAUGAUUAUGUGAAUAAAUUGUCGUCCUAACUCUAUAGAAGUAUUUUUCUCUGGUACAUCCUCAAUACAAGGUAUUUUUAUUAUAUUAAAGUAUAUGCGACCCAUAAUAUGUGCUGUCGGAUGUGUCGUGGCUUUUAAACAACGAUACAGCGCUUCAUCACAUACACAGUGUGACCUAGAAAGUGACCUAUCAAUUUGAACUUCUUGGCCCAAAUCAUGGUAAUUCUCGGCUAUAUCCCCGGCACCACACCAUUUUGUGCCUAUGAAAUCAUCAAAAUUUAUGUCAAAAUAUAGAUAAAUUACAAAUAUAACAAGAAAGUCUGCAAUAAUCACGAACCUGGUAAGAUACCUGAGAGAAGAGACAAGACAUUACUCAUUCCAUGAUUAUCUUUAUUCACACUGUUUGAUAUCGUUGUAGACAACCUUUCGUGCUGCAUCUUGUCCAAUAAUUCGCAUUGUUGUAUAAGUUUUGUCAUUUGUGAGAAAGAUACCAGCUGAGGAAUUACUAUGGAUGACAGAUUCCUCAAAACUUCAUUGGCUUCAUUUUUCUCACUAUAAAUACCGAUGCAUUUUUUUUAUUUAUGCAUAAAUAUUGAUUUCAAUCUAAUCCAAAGUACUUACUAUACUUCGAUCAAGUUGCAAUUGUGCAAUUCAUUAUUAAUGCCAAGAUCAACUACUGCCACGGUCUGAUCAUGAUAAUAAACAGCUCUGAUCUCAUUUCUAUCAA